rnacentral:rRNA from 1 species
AUUGAACGCUGGCGGCAUGCCUUACACAUGCAAGUCGAACGGCAGCACGGGGGCAACCCUGGUGGCGAGUGGCGAACGGGUGAGUAACAUAUCGGAACAUACCCUAGAGUGGGGGAUAACGUAGCGAAAGUUACGCUAAUACCGCAUACGAUCUAAGGAUGAAAGUGGGGGAUCUUCGGGUCCCUUCAUGCUCAUGGAGUGGCCGAUAUCUGAUUAGCUAGUUGGUGAGGUAAAGGCUCACCAAGGCGACGAUCAGUAGCUGGUUUGAGAGAACGACCAGCCACACUGGAACUGAGACACGGUCCAGACUCCUACGGGAGGCAGCAGUGGGGAAUUUUGGACAAUGGGGCAACCCUGAUCCAGCAAUGCCGCGUGAGUGAAGAAGGCCUCGGUUGUAAG